rnacentral:rRNA from 1 species
GAUGAACGCUGACAGAAUGCUUAACACAUGCAAGUCAACUUGAAUUUGGGUUUUUAACUUAGAUUUGGGUGGCGGACGGGUGAGUAACGCGUAAAGAACUUGCCUCACAGCUAGGGACAACAUUUAGAAAUGAAUGCUAAUACCUGAUAUUAUGAUUUUAAGGCAUCUUAGAAUUAUGAAAGCUAUAAGCACUGUGAGAGAGCUUUGCGUCCCAUUAGCUAGUUGGAGAGGUAACAGCUCACCAAGGCGAUGAUGGGUAGCCGGCCUGAGAGGGUGAACGGCCACAAGGGGACUGAGACACGGCCCUUACUCCUACGGGAGGCAGCAGUGGGGAAUAUUGGACAAUGGACCGAGAGUCUGAUCCAGCAAUUCUGUGUGCACGAUGAAGUUUUUCGGAAUGUAAAGUGCUUUCAGUUGGGAAGAAAAAAAUGACGGUACCAACAGAAGAAGUGACGGCUAAAUACGUGCCAGCAGCCGCGGUAAUACGUAUGUCACGAGCGUUAUCCGGAUUUAUUGGGCGUAAAGCGCGUCUAGGUGGUUAUGUAAGUCUGAUGUGGAAAUGCAGGGCUCAACUCUGUAUUGCGUUGGAAACUGUAUAACUAGAGUACUGGAGAGGUAAGCGGAACUACAAGUGUAGAGGUGAAAUUCGUAGAUAUUUGUAGGAAUGCCGAUGGGGAAGCCAGCUUACUGGACAGAUACUGACGCUAAAGCGCGAAAGCGUGGGUAGCAAACAGG